rnacentral:rRNA from 1 species
UUUUAUUGGAUGGUGGCGAACGGGUGAGUAACGCGUAGACAAUCUACCCUUUAGACUGGGAUAAGCUUGGGAAACUGAGUCUAAUACCGGAUGUGGUCAUUUAGAUGCAUAUUUAGAUGAUUAAAGCUCUUGAAGCACUAAAGGAUGAGUCUGCGUAACAUUAGCUAGUUGGUGAGGUAACGGCUCACCAAGGCAACGAUGUUUAGCUGGUCUGAGAGGAUGAUCAGCCACACUGGGACUGAGAUACGGCCCAGACUCC